GACCUCAGAUCAGGUAGGACUACCCGCUGAACUUAAGCAUAUCAAUAAGCGGAGGAAAAGAAACCAACAGGGAUUCCCCUAGUAGCGGCGAGCGAACCGGGAAGAGCUCAAAUUUGUAAUCUGGCGCUUGCGUCCGAGUUGUAAUCUAUAGAAACGUUUUCCGUGCCGGACCGUGUCCAAGUCCCUUGGAACAGGGUAUCAUAGAGGGUGACAAUCCCGUGCUUGACACGACGACCGGUGCUAUGUGAUACGUUCUCUACGAGUCGAGUUGUUUGGGAAUGCAGCUCAAACGGGUGGUAAACUCCAUCUAAAGCUAAAU
rnacentral:rRNA from 1 species